rnacentral:misc_RNA from 1 species
UCAAGAUACCGUAAAUGUUUCAAGGCACCAAUGGAAUGUGGCAACUCUUUAAUCUUAUAACCAGCUAGUGAUAGCACCCUUAAACAUUUCAACUUUGGCACCAAAUCAUGCACCACCUUACCUGCUAAAAAGUUACAUGCCCAUGGGUCAUCUGAUGAAAGUUUUGGCAGCGCUAAGAACGUUCUUAAACUAUUCAUUUCAUAGAAAACUUCAAACCUUUGGAAGAUCUCCGUGAAAUGACAAGUAAAUGCAGAAUGGCGAACCUUUGAA